CGGGCCAUGGCGCAGUUGGCUAGCGCGCUUGCAUGGGGUGCAAGAGGUCGAGGGUUCAAGUCCCUCUGGCCCGA
rnacentral:tRNA from 1 species